UAUAAUGGCCAUGCCACUCUGAACGUGCCUGAUCCUGUCCGAUCUUGGAAGCUAAGCAGGGUCGGGCCUGGUUAGUACUUGGAUGGGAGAUCACCUAGGAAUACCAGGUGCUGUAGGCA
rnacentral:rRNA from 1 species